rnacentral:rRNA from 1 species
GACGAACGCUGGCGGCGUGCCUAACACAUGCAAGUCGAGCGACGAACCAGGGCUUGCCCUGGGGCAAAGAAGCGAACGGGUGAGUAACACGUGGGUAACCUACCCCGAUAACCGGGACAACCCGAGGAAACUCGGGCUAAUACCGGAUGUGCUCACUGGACAGCGGUUUAGUGCGUAAAGGAAGCUACGGUCUCCGUUACGGGAGGGGCCCGCGCCCCUGUAUCUUGAUGGUGAGGUAACGGCCCCCCGAGGCCGUGAUUGGUUGCUGCAGCGAGAGGAGGAUCCGCCACACUGCUGUUGAGACACGGUCCAGCAUCCUACGGGAGGCCGCAGUGGGGAAUCUUACGUAAUGCGCGAAAGCGUGCCGCAGCAACGCCGCGUGAGGGAGGAGGGCCUUCGGGUUGUAAACGCGUUUCAGGAGGGACGAAGGAACGGCGGUGAAGAUCCGUCCGGACUGACGGUACCUACACAAGAAGCCCCGGCUAACUACGUG